rnacentral:tRNA from 1 species
AGGACGUGUGGCCCAAUGGCAAGGCGCUUGACUACGAUUACAACAGUAAUCAAGAGAUUCCAGGUUCGACCCCUGGCACGUUCAU